rnacentral:rRNA from 1 species
UGGGUGAUCUGCCCUGCACUUCGGGAUAAGCCUGGGAAACUGGGUCUAAUACCGGAUAUACCUCAUUGAUCUCCUGGUUGGUGGGGGAAAGCUUUUGCGGUGUGGGAUGGGCCCGCGGCCUAUCAGCUUGUUGGUGAGGUUACGGCCCACCAAGGCGACGACGGGUAGCCGGCCUGAGAGGGUGACCGGCCACACUGGGACUGAGACACGGCCCAGACUCCUACGGGAGGCAG